GCCAUUACUUGAGCGAGCCGUCUUCACGAGCUCGCUCCUCUCCAGGCGUCAUGUCGACCUUUAGCAACAAUUCAUACUCUUAGAUAUGGUUACAGUGGAUCUCAGAAACGUCUUCUUCACUUUUGAUUUCACAAAUAAUUGGUAACCUUUUCGGUAGAAGAGAAACUACUUGGUUGUCCGACAAAAAUCCAUUGUAGUUUUAUCCCACUUCAGGAGCUACUCACCUGCGACGUGCUGUCCAGUUUAUUGAUCUAUCGAAACAUCUGGUGCUCGCGUUCCAAGAGCUCGGAACAUCAUGACCAAAGCUUACGACUUUAAUUGGCUGAGGGAGGUUCCAGAACCGUUAUUGAAGGGUUGCUUGUUCGAUCGUUGGGAGGAGGAGAAAGAACAAGUCAUGUACGAGCCGAAUGCCUUCUUCAAGGUGGACGAAUAUGGGUUUUUUAUUUACUGGAAGAGCGAGGG